rnacentral:rRNA from 1 species
AUGGUAGGAGAGCGUUCUAAGGGCGUCGAAGCAUGAUCGCAAGGACAUGUGGAGCGCUUAGAAGUGAGAAUGCCGGUGUGAGUAGCGAAAGACGGGUGAGAAUCCCGUCCACCGAUUGACUAAGGUUUCCAGAGGAAGGCUCGUCCGCUCUGGGUUAGUCGGGUCCUAAGCUGAGGCCGACAGGCGUAGGCGAUGGAUAACAGGUUGAUAUUCCUGUACCACCUAGUAUCGUUUUAAUCGAUGGGGGGACGCAGUA